rnacentral:tRNA from 1 species
CGCAGAGUGGAGCAGGCGGAAGCUCGGCGGUCUCAGUAGCCGCAGGUCAUCGGUUCGAAUCCGGUCUCUGCAA